rnacentral:piRNA from 1 species
CAGGUGAUUAUCCUGAACCAUCCAGGCC